rnacentral:rRNA from 1 species
GAUCAUGGCUCAGGAUGAACGCUAGCUACAGGCUUAACACAUGCAAGUCGAGGGGCAGCAUGAACUUAGCUUGCUAAGUUGAUGGCGACCGGCGCACGGGUGAGUAACACGUAUCCAAACCUGCCGAUGACUCGGGGAUAGCCUUUCGAAAGAAAGAUUAAUACCCGAUGGCAUAGUUCUUCCGCAUGGUAGAACUAUUAAAGAAUUUCGGUCAUCGAUGGGGAUGCGUUCCAUUAGGUUGUUGGCGGGGUAACGGCCCACCAAGGCGACGAUCAGUAGGGGUUCUGAGAGGAAGGUCCCCCACAUUGGAACUGAGACACGGUCCAAACUCCUACGGGAGGCAGCAGUGAGGAAUAUUGGUCAAUGGACGAGAGUCUGAACCAGCCAAGUAGCGUGCAGGAUGACGGCCCUAUGGGUUGUAAACUGCUUUUAUAAGGGAAUAAAGUGAGUCUCGUGAGGCUUUUUGCAUGUACCUUAUGAAUAAGGACCGGCUAAUUCCGUG